rnacentral:rRNA from 1 species
UACGGAGGGGGCUAGCGUUGUUCGGAAUUACUGGGCGUAAAGCGCGCGUAGGCGGUGUAUCUAGUCAGAGGUGAAAGCCCUGGGCUCAACCCAGGAACUGCCUUUGAUACUGGUAUGCUAGAGUACGGGAGAGGUGAGCGGAAUUCCCAGUGUAGAGGUGAAAUUCGUAGAUAUUGGGAAGAACACCAGUGGCGAAGGCGGCUCACUGGCCCGUUACUGACGCUGAGGCGCGAAAGCGUGGGGAGCGAAC